AACGUAGGAGACAAACGUUAUCCGGAGUUACUGGGCGUAAAGGGCGUGCAGGCGGUCUGUUAAGUCUGGCGUGAAAGCUCGCGGCUAAACCGCGAGAGGUCGUUGGAUACUGACGGACUAGAGGACGGUAGAGGCGUGUGGAAUUCCGGGUGUAGUGGUGAAAUGCGUAGAGAUCCGGAGGAACACCAGUGGCGAAGGCGACACGCUGGGCCGUACCUGACGCUAAAACGCGACAGCAUGGGGAGCGAACGGG
rnacentral:rRNA from 1 species